rnacentral:rRNA from 1 species
ACUCUAAUGAGACUGCCGGUGACAACCGGACGGAAGGUGGGGAUGACGUCAAGUCCUCAUGGCCCUUAUGGUAGGGCUUCACACGUCAUACAAUGGUCGGUACAGAGGGUUGCCAAGCCGCGAGGUGGAGCCAAUCCCUUAAAGCCGAUCGUAGUCCGGAUCGUAGUCUGCAACUCGACUACGUGAAGUCGGAAUCGCUAGUAAUCGCAGAUCAGCAUGCUGCGGUGAAUACGUUCCCGGGUCUU